GAAAUAAUAUUUUACAAUCAACAACUAGAUCUUGCUUUUUGUAGGUCCAAAAUCGAGUUUCACCAAAAUACUCAACAAAUAAAAUCAAGAUUUUCUCAAACCAGAACAAAAAAUAAAGAAUGGGGGAGAUUUUUCGGCCAAAGGCCCCGGAGGUUUAACGACCAUUUCUAACGCUUAGUCCUCCAUUGAGCAUCCAUAAAAGGAUUAAGUUCGAAUCCACUAAAUCGGCUAAAAUAGGCAAAGUUCAAUUUACAGAACACCAAGUUUCCAGAAACCACAAGAACAACACAAUCUUCCCACAGUAGAAAC
rnacentral:lncRNA from 1 species